AUGUUUCGUGGUUUUCACCAUCCCGGAGAACUUCCUCGGGGCCCUGCUCCCUUAGGCCACCCAUCCCAUGUACAGCCACCCGGUCCCAGCUACGGAGGGCCCUUUGGCCCGCCACCCCACGUUCCAAUGCCUGGACACUUACCUCCUGGAUCUUGUCAUCCUUUCUUACCUCCCGGAUCGGGAAGUGAAUACCUCCACAGGCCCAUGAGGGAACAUUAUAUCAAUACUCCACACUGCAGCAGUUACUCCAUUGACCGCAGCACAGUGAUCAGUCUGGGUGGUCAACAGAUUCUCCCACCAGACACACAGCAUCUUCAGAUGCCACAGUGGCCCGCCAAUCCUUUGGAAUCAUGUCAAAGAGACAAGAGUGAGAACUUGACAGCUGGGGAAGAAUUCCUCAGAUGCCUUGCAGCUAAUAAGCCAGUCCCUGACUUCCUCAAAGGAGUCAACCUGUUGGACGCAGGGAAGGCAGUCAAGGCUCCAGGUGUACCAGAAAACCGGGGUUAUGAGAGGCAGAGACUCCGGAGCAAAUCUCGCAGUCCAGCGAAGGAAAGCAGGGGCAGGAGUAAGAGCCGAGCAAAGAGCCAGGUAAGAAGCAAGAGCCGGGCAAGAAGCAAGAGCUGUCCGCGCAGCAGAAGUCGUACCCGAGGGAAAAGCCGGGCAAGAAGCAAAAGCCGACCACGAAGCAGGAGUCGCAGUCGUGGAAAGAGCCAGGUCAGAAGCAAGAGCAAGGCUCGUAGUAGGAGCCGGAGCCGAGGGAAAAGUCGGGUGAGAAGCAAAAGCAGAUCGAGGAGUAGGAGUCGCAGCUAUGGAAAGAGCCGGGGCAGAGUGGACCAUCAUUCCGACCACAGGGACAAAAGGAGCCCCAUUCGGAGCUGUAGCAGCAGGAUCAGUAAUCACUCCUCCGUACACAAUGACCUGCUCGAGGGCUUGAAACGGGUUAUGAACAGCAAGCAACUGGAGGACAGUAUGCCUUCCAUCAAGAAUGCCAUUCUCACAAUACAGGCCAAUAACUUUAGCAGAGAUAUCCAGAGCAGCAGAGCAAUCCAGAGCAACUGUCUUCCAUGUGGACCAGUCUUGGCCAGCAGACAGGAAUUUCUUCAAGCCUCAGAUGGGCCCAAGCCAGUCAGCAGACAGGAGGAGACCGACAGCAAUCUUCUCCCCCACGAGAGAGUGGGCUGUGACUUCUCCUGGCUGCAGGGCACCAGGGAGGUCUCGCCUGUUCAGAAGCUGGAGGAGGUCGAGGAUGAGGAGAACUUCCUCUAUGGGAAUGAGGAUAACCAGUCAAAACAACGCCCUGCCACUCUGCCUUUUGCACCGUCCACCUCCAUUACCCAGCAGAGCGAUGCAGAGAUCUCCCCAGCAGGCCCACCCUACUAUCAAAGCCAGCCUCUGUUCGGGAACCAUGGUGAAGUCCUGGAGUUCAAGAUGCCUCCUCAACCGGUCCAGUCCAGUGUGAGGCCUGAGCAGAGGGUGCAGCCUGUUCCUGAUGUGAAGCCCGCCCCCACUGUGAAGGAAUGUGAGGAGUUUAAGACCAUGUUGAAGAACAUUGGACUGAAUCUGUGCACAUCAGAGAUCAGUAAGAUGAUGGUCAAGCUGCAGCAACAGAAGGAGGGGAAGAUGCCAGAGCAGAAGAGGGAGGAGAAAGUGCCAUCACCAGCACCAGUGCUGCCUCUUCCUCUUGUAAUUGGGGCAUCACAGGAGCCCAGACUGGCCUCACCAGCACUCGGGACAGCACCAAUACGACAAGCAUUGGAGUCAUUACAGUUCAUUAUUAAAGCAACAAGGGAGAAAAGGGCCAAUAGUGAUCCACAUGAUGGCAACCAUUCCCAAAGGAAUUCAGACAAACAGAAGAGCAAAGAUGAGGAGAGUCAGAGGAGAUCGAGACAUGACCAAAUGAAAAGGAAAGAAACUCUUGUGAAGGAACUGGAGGAAUUGCUAAAGCAGGAUGGGUCUACCUUUUUGAUUCCGGUCAUCGGGUUCUACUGUCAGAGGUGUGAGGAGUUCUUCGGAGACCUGACCACUGCUGAGGGCCAUGCAGCAACCCACCGGCGGAAUGAGCCUAGCAUGGCAUGUACCUAGCUACAUUCUCUCGCCCCACACAGUAACCCAACUGUAUACACUGCAUUGACCAAAGAAACAGCAUAGUUAAACCAUUGCGUUGUGCAACCGAAAUCACCCCUCAGUAUAAACUUUAGGUUCCUUUCCAGUCCACUUGUCUUCAGCAUCCAUAGAAAAGUCAAAUUCCCCAAAAGAUUUGUGGUAUUAUAAUCCCAAACUGUAGCUACUUGUUUCACCUUGUCUAUAGCAGCAGCAUGGAGACAGACGACCUGGAGAGGACCGAAGACACCCUAGCCAUUACAUCGGGCACCCCCUGGGUCCAGAGUGGAGGGACCAGGGAGACCCAAGAGAUCAGAGGUAUCGCAAACUAGACGAGGGCCCAAAGGGUUACAGGGAGAAGAUCUACGUGAAAGAGGAACGCCCUGGAAGCCCCAGGAUAAAGAUGCCGAUGGUCCGUGGGCACACCCCACCAGGUCUGCAGAAGGCCAGGGGGAGAGAGGAGGGGAGGGUGGAUAAGGGCUCUUGUGCUGCUUCCUCUGGGAAAUAUGGUAGGGUCAAACUGGAGGUGGUGGAGACCAAAGGAAAGCCCAACGUGGAAGUAUGUGACAAGAAGGACAAAGAUAAAGGAGAAAGCAGUUCUAACAGUGAUGACGAGAAAGACAAAUCUCCUAAAGGCAACAAAAAGAAAAAGAAGAAGGAGAAAAAGAAGAAGGAAAAGAAGAAGAAGAAGAAGAAGGAAAAGGGUUAGAAGUAAUAGCUGCUGUACUGCAUGUCCUGGUUUGAUUGUACUGUAUCUCUGGAGGACCUGGCCUUGGGUCAUUGUUUGGCAUCAUUGCAGCGGUUUUCAGAAGUUGGUGCUUUUAAUGUUAAAAAGAAGCAGUAUUCCUCUGAUUCAUUCUCUCCUUUUGGGGUUGUCUUGUUUUUCAACUAACUGUGUUGUAGUGGAUAACAGCACAUUUUCAUUGAAUGCUGUUGGAGGACAGGCCGUUCCAGGGUGCAUAUGCAGCAUUUAUGAUGUCCAGAAUUGUUUUGCUGCCAGCUACUGAUCCUAUUGUUCAGACCUUUAGUUACUGUAGAUGUUUAUUAAAUAACCCUCUUUAUAUUGGGCCAUGUUUGUGUAUAUUUCACCCGGUACAACCUUGAUUUAGUGCUUUGAGUGUUAUCAAAUGUACUUUUUCCAUUUAAAGGUCAACUGCCAUUUGAAGCGUGUGCUGUCUUUCUUCUUAUUGUUAAACCGAUGAGAUGGAAUUAUUCUGUAAUGAAGAAAUUCUUAUACAUUGUCCUCUUAUAAUCUAGGUCUCGGCAAUUGAUGGCGCAAGGCUAUUUGCAAGCGCACAUGAUCUUGCCAAAGUCAUUGGAUCCUAUCAGGAUAGGAACAGUUGACAUGUUUUUGUAAGGUGAUUACUUUUUUUUCUGAUUAUAUACGUUGUUUUUGUCUGCUGUUGCUUACUCUGACUUCCUCUUUCUCACAUAUUAGGCAUUUCCAUUGAUCCAGGUUUAUUUGACAAAAGCAGGGGGAAAAAAUAUUCUGACGUGUAAUAGAAACGGCAGAUAUAGGAGACAUUUUAAAGCUCGAUAACAUUUUUAUCCGUUCAAUAGGGUUCUAUUUUUCUUUUGUUGAACUUUCUUUACUGCAACUAAUGAGGGGAAACUGAUUUUGAAUAAAUGUUGACUGUAAAAUACUUUAAGGUAUGCUGGGCAUGUGAUGUCAUCACAUAACUAUAGGCUGCACUCCUAAAUGCCUACUGCUUGCAAAAUAAGUUUUCAUUUUAAGCUAACAUGGAAUUGUUUUAAGAUGGUCAUACCAUGGAUCAUUUAGCUAUUUGAUUUUGAAUUUUAUGACCCCUUUGGGUAUCAAAAAUAUUUAGUGAUUUGAUCAAAUAUUUUAUUUCACCUCUAUUACUAUAGCGCAUAGAAACACAUUGAAUAAGACAUUAAUAAAUGUCAUAAAAGACAGUAAAAAAAUAGAUCACAUGGAAUAAGGUUUUAAAGUGUCUGUCCUAGAUAUACGAAAGCUCAAGAAAUAGUUUAGUUUAGAAAGUAUUCAUUCCCCUUGACUUAUUCCACAUUUUGUUGUGCCUGAAUUAAACAAAACUAAAAAUUAUCACCCAUCUACACACAAUACCCCAUAAUGACAAAGUGAAAACAUGUUUUUAGAAAUGUGCAAAUUUAUUGAAAAUGAAAUACAGAAAUGUCUCAUUUACAUACACUACCGUUCAAAUGUUUAGGGUCACUUAGAAAUGUCCUUGUUUUUGAAAGAAAAGCACUUUUUUGUCCAUUAAAAUAACAUCAAAUUGAUCUGAAAUACAAUGUAAACAUUGUUCAUGUUGUAAAUGACUAUUGUAGCUGGAUACGGCAGAUUUUUAAUGA
rnacentral:lncRNA from 1 species